rnacentral:lncRNA from 1 species
UUUUUUUUUUUUUUUUUUUUUGCAUAAAGGCACAAGAGUUUCUCUGUCCUUACUAAUACACUAUGUUUGAGAGGAGUUCCAAAUCCAGAAACUUCCAUGGAGCUUUUAUGCACUUUUCAAUUUCUUUUUCAAGAAAAUGAAACCAAAUAGGUUCCUAACCAUUCAACAAAGGAGAAGACUCUCCUGGCAGCUCAAGACUGCAGCCCAUCGGGACAACUGUUAAAAGCCAGGACUCUACUGCAAAGAUAAACAUAAUACCAGCAAUUAAUAUUCAGUGUUUCACAUUCCAGUCGAGAGGGUGUGUUUUUCUUUGUGAUGUGGCUCAUAAGCUGAGGGUGUCGGGAGCCAGAUUCCUCUCGUGCAUGAGGAUUAAGGGGGGAAAAAAAUAGCAACAACAAUCCUUCCCCCAUCUGUAAAUGAAUGAACAUCUUGAUUUUAUAGCUAUUUGCUUUGUAAAACUGAGAACUGAAACAAAAAUUACUGGAUGCCUAAGUAACACUUUAAUUCGGAAUUCAUUUACGCAGUAGCUAUGGAGUUGUCACAAACCAUAAUGCAGUAUUUAAUUAAAAUAACAGAAGUGCAUCUAGAUAUGUCCUGGGGUAGCUAUCACCAAAUGAUAGUCUGUGCCAUCAGUAUUUUGUUUAUGAAAUGGCAGAUUCUAAGGUGCAGCGAGGCUGAGGCGAGAGCAUAAACAUUUUAAACUUGCAUUUUUAGAAAGGUUCUUUUUUUUUUUUCCUGCUGCAUCAUUAAUUUUUUCUUCUUCUGUGGUGUGUGUGUGGUGUGUGUGUGGUGUGUGUGUGUGUGUGUGUGUGUGUGUGUGUGUGUGUGUGUGUGUGUGUGUGUGUGUGUGUGUGUAGUGUGGUGGGAAUGACUUCUGGGAUUGUUUUGCUGUGGAUAAAGAUCUCUCUUUCUAACUCUUGCUUUUCAACUAUUGACCUCCCAAGCCUCCAAGGCUGUGAAAUCCUGUCUGUUGUCAUGGAAAGGCGCAUGAGGUUCACAGGAGUCACAGCAAGCGUGGGACAUCUCAGGCAGAACUUGGACGUGGAUUCCGGGAGGGUAGGCUCACUGCGCCGGUUCCCACCGUCUUCCUUACACCUUUUCCAUCCAUAAAAUGUUCUCAUGCCUGCCUGUUCUACCCUGUGGAUGCUCACCACGGUUGCCUUCCCUUUUCAUAAACGCAUAGCAUCUAUCUUGCACGCACCCACCAUCUAUCUCCACGCUCACAUCAGCUGUCCCCUCCACCUCCUUGUCUGCAGAAUUAUGUUCAGCAAAGUCCCGAUUUAUAGGAAAUAAAUAAUGAAAAUGGAAGGGACUGGGAAAGAUAAUCGAAACAUUCAAAUUGUUAUUUUUCACUGCACUUUACACAAGCAGAGCAUCUGUAAACACCUAGAGAAGGUGUCGUCUGGUCCCUAAAAAGCUAUGCCUCCAGAAUACCCUGACCAAGUCCGUCUCUGUCGGCAUUGCUUCAUCUCUGCUCCAACUCUCCUGCUCUUGGAGGCUCCCACCAUCUGACCUUUUUAAAAUGGUAAUUCAUACCCCGCUAUUGUUGUCUUUCUAUCUGAUUCUUAUUUAUCCUGCGUAUAAUGGCGUGUUUGUCACCACUUACGCUCUGUAAGAUAAUUCUAAAGACAAACAUAGCAGUCACCUUCUUAAAGAAAGAAAGAAAAAAAGUCCUUGUGGUGGCAGUAUGAAGGUGUUCUGAGAAUGGUCUCACAGCCCAGUCCUACAGCUAGGGUCUCCUGGAAGGAGGAUUUCUUCUACACUUGUAAUUAUUUUAGCCCCUUUCACAGGUCACAUAAAAAGUUAAUUUCAAUCGCUGCUAAUUUCCGUCCAACAAGAGCACGGUACUUUAAACCACCCAAAAUAAUUGGAUUCAAAACAAAUUUAGGAAAUUGAGUGUGUUAGAAAGCAAAUAAAAAUAUCCUUUUGGUAGGGAGGCGGGGUGAAAGUAGUAAAAAUGGCCUUUUUCCCCCUCUCUCCCUUCUUUCCCCUUCGCAACUUUGCCAUUAAAGUUGCACCUACAGCUAGAAGUUUGUCCGUGAAAAAUGGUCAUUUUGUUUCUCUGCUCAAAGAAUGUUAUUAAAAUGCUAAUUUAAAAGAAAAAGGAGUUAAAUAUCUAGCGAUGGUGCAUUCUAAUUGCAGCCAUAAUGAGCUCUCUAAAUGUGCAUGCCCCUGACACACACCAAGCAUAAACAGCAGUAAACAGAUCAUUAGUACCCGCGUUCAUUUAUUCUGGCGACCUUACCAUGACCCCACCGAGGGUAGGGUGAAAAGCAGGUGGAUCUGGCUGUGACACCCCCUAGAGGGAUCCAGGAAAUGAAGCUAUAAGCUGUUGUCAUGGAAACGCCUAUGUGUGCAGAUGAUGUAACACACCGACAGGCUGUAGGGCCCCCGCAACUGGGACGUUCGCCUUUCCCUCGCCGGAACAAUCUUGAGGAUUAAAUUAUUCAUUUCUUUAAUUCACAAAGCAAAAGGAAUCCUAAUUUUCUUGGUGAUGUGCAACUCUCUCCCAUUCAUCUAGGGUCUAAAACACAGCGACUUGUCCCCUCUUUCACCGAACCCACAUUCUAGUCCCAAAUAGCUGAAUUUGGCGAAAUCAAGUGUGGAAAUGCAGCAGGAAUCCAACACUCAGUAUCUGCACUACAAGGAAAGAAAACCUAUGGGUUUCUGCCC